ensembl:snRNA U6 U6 spliceosomal RNA
GUGCUCACUUUGGCAGCACAUAUACUAAAAUUGGAACGAUAUAGAGAAGAUUAGCAUGGCCCCUGUGCAAAGAUGACAUGCAAAUUCAUGAAGCAUUCCAUAUUUUU